rnacentral:tRNA from 1 species
GGAGAGGUGGCUGAGCGGCCGAAAGCAGCCGCCUGCUAAGCGGUUGACCCUGUAAAAAGGGUCCCCGGGUUCAAAUCCCGGCCUCUCCGCCA